GGGGAUUUUCUUUCUUUGGCAGAGUGGUCGAUUGCGGCAGUCUUGAAAACUGUUGACUUGUCAAAGGGUCCGCGGGUUCGAAUCCCCCACUCUCCGCCA
rnacentral:tRNA from 1 species